AGCGAACGCUGGCGGCAGGCCUAACACAUGCAAGUCGAACGGACCCUUCGGGGUUAGUGGCGGACGGGUGAGUAACACGUGGGAACGUGCCUUUAGGUUCGGAAUAGCGCAGAGAAAUUUGCGCUAAUACCGAAUGAGCCCUUAGGGGGAAAGAUUUAUCGCCGAAAGAUCGGCCCGCGUUGGAUUAGGUAGUUGGUGUGGUAAAGGCGCACCAAGCCUACGAUCCAUAGCUGGUCUGAGAGGAUGAUCAGCCACACUGGGACUGAGACACGGCCCAGACUCCUACGGGAGGCAGCAGUGGGGAAUCUUGCGCAAUGGGCGAAAGCCUGACGCAGCCAUGCCGCGUGAAUGAUGAAGGUCUUAGGAUUGUAAAAUUCUUUUACCAGGGACGAUAAUGACGGUACCUGGAGAAAAAGCCCCGGCUAACUUCGUGCCAGCAGCCGCCGUAAGAC
rnacentral:rRNA from 1 species